GAUGAACGCUGGCGGCGUGCCUAACACUUGCAAGUCGAACGAACCUGAUCUUCGGAAAAGGUUAGUGGCGCACGGGUGAGUAACACGUAGGUGACCUGCCCUGGAGUGGGGGAUAACUUCUCGAAAGAGAGGCUAAUACCGCAUACGCUCGGCCAUUCAGUUGGUCGAGUAAAGCUCCGGCGCUCCAGGAGGGGCCUGCGUCCGAUUAGCUAGUUGGUGAGGUAAUGGCUCACCAAGGCGAUGAUCGGUAGCUGGUCUGAGAGGACGAUCAGCCACACUGGCACUGACACACGGGCCAGACUCCUACGGGAGGCAGCAGUGAGGAAUAUUGGUCAAUGGGCGAAAGCCUGAACCAGCAACGCCGCGUGAGGGAUGAAGGCCUUCGGGUCGUAAACCUCUUUUGACAGGGAAGAGAGAGGACGGUACCUGUCGAAUAAGUCACGGCUAACUACGUGCCAGCCGCCGCAGUAAUAC
rnacentral:rRNA from 1 species